GACGAACGCUGGCGGCGUGCUUAACACAUGCAAGUCGAACGCUGAAGCUUGGUGCUUGCACUGGGUGGAUGAGUGGCGAACGGGUGAGUAAUACGUGAGUAACCUGCCCUUGACUCUGGGAUAAGCCUGGGAAACUGGGUCUAAUACUGGAUACGACAUGUCACCGCAUGGUGGUGUGUGGAAAGGGUUUUACUGGUUUUGGAUGGGCUCACGGCCUAUCAGCUUGUUGGUGGGGUAAUGGCUCACCAAGGCGACGACGGGUAGCCGGCCUGAGAGGGUGACCGGCCACACUGGGACUGAGACACGGCCCAGACUCCUACGGGAGGCAGCAGUGGGGAAUAUUGCACAAUGGGCGGAAGCCUGAUGCAGCGACGCCGCGUGAGGGAUGACGGCCUUCGGGUUGUAAACCUCUUUCAGCACGGAAGAAGCGAAAGUGACGGUACGUGCAGAAGAAGCGCCGGCUAACUCCGUG
rnacentral:rRNA from 1 species